UAACAGGAAAUUUAAGGGCGUACGGUGGAUGCCUAGACUAAAAAUAGCGAUGAAGGACGUGGCGUAGCUGCGAUAAGCUUCGGGGAGGUGUGUAGCAACCUUUGAUCCGGAGAUUUCCGAAUGGGGAAACCCUAUCUCGUAAACCGAGAUAAUUUUUUACGUAAGUAAAAGAAGCGUACCCUGGGAAGUGAAACAUCUCAGUACCAGGAGGAAAAGAAAAAAACAUUUAUUUUCUUAGUAGCGGCGAGCGAAAAGGAAAGAGCCCAAACCGAGGUAGCAAUACUUCGGGGUUGUAAGAUGACAAUUUAGAUUUAUCUAGGAGAGUCAAAAAAUAAAAUAUUAGCUUAAGUUGCUGGAAAGCGACACCAAAGAAGGUGAUAGUCCCGUGAGCGAAAAUAUUUUAUCUCUUUUAUUGUUAUUCUUGAGUACCCCAGGACAUGAAUGGCCGGGGGGAAUCUGCCAGAACUAACUGGCAAGGCUAAAUAUAUUUUUAGAUCGAUAGUGAACUAGUACCGUGAGGGAAAGGUGAAAAGCAGUCCGAUUAGGACAGUGAAAUAGACCUGAAACCGUAUGUCUACAAGGAGUUGGAGCAGGUAUUUAUAUCUGCGACAGCGUGCCUAUUGAAGAAUGAGCCAACGAGUUUAUGCAUACUGCUCGGCAAAGUUCUCUAAAAGAACAGAGCCACAGGGAAACCGAGUGUUAAUAGCGCGUAAUUGGUAGAAUGCAUAAGACCCGAAGCGAGGUGAGCUUGCCAUGAGCAGGAUGAAGUAGAGCGAAAGCUUUAUGGAGGUCCGAACGGGUAGAUCGUACGACGUCUUCCGAUGACUUGUGGUAAGGAGUGAAAAGCUAAUCGAACCUCGUAAUAGCUGGUUCUCUCCGAAAUAGCUUUAGGGCUAGCGUCGUGUGUUUCUUUUGGGGGUAGAGCACUGGAAAGUCUCGACAGGUCGCAAGAUCGCGAGACUUAUCAAACUCCGAAUACCAGAAGUAAGAGCGCGGCAGUUAGGCUAUGGGGGCGAAGCUCCAUUGGCCAAAAGGGAAACAGCCCGGAUCUCAAUAUAAGGUCCCUAAAUUCAUGCUAAGUGUAAGACAAGAAGGUGAUAUUUCUUUAACAAUGAGGAGGUUGGCUUAGAAGCAGCCAUCCUUUAAAGAUAGCGUAACAGCUCACUCAUCUAGAGAUUUCGCGUCGAAAAUAAUUGGGGCUAAGCAUGGUACCGAAUGUGAGGAUUUUAAACGUCUUAGGACGCCUAAAGUGGUAGGAGAGUGUUCCAAUCUGCUGUGAAGUAGGACUUGUGAGAGCCUAUGGAGCGUUUGGAAGUAAGAAUGUUGGCACAAGUAACCGCAAUGAUGCUGAGAACGCAUCACGUCGAAAGAUCAAGGUUUCCUUGGUAAUGUCAAUCAGCCAAGGGUUAGUCGGGCCUAAGGGAAUGGUGAAAACCGUACUCGAUGGACACAUGGUUAAUAUUCCAUGACAUCUGUAUUUAGUGAUGGGAGGACGAAGUGUAGUAUGUAUUGCUCAUUAUGGAUUUGAAGUUUGUUUAUUAGGGAUGAUGUGUAGGAAAAUCCGCACGCUACUUUUAAUGGUAAAUCCGAGGUAAAUGAAAAAUUUAGUCAUACGUGACUAGAUAAUGAUACAAAGCACGCUUCCAAGAAAAAUCUCUAAACUUAUAAAUAUAGAUUCCGUACCGCAAACCGACACAGGUGAUCAGGUCGAGUAGACCAAGACGAACGAGUGAGUGGUCCCCAAGGAACUCGGCAAAAAAGCAGCCGUAACUUCGGGAUAAGGCUUCCCCGCAUCACAUUGCAUGUGAUGUAGCUUAUAGGUUUUAGCUAAUUAGCUAGUUAGGAAUUUCCUAAGAAGCUAGCAAGCUAGAUAGCUAAGAAGCUUCAUCGCGCGUAGCGUGAUGCGGGGCGCAGCGAAAGUAUCCCUGGCAACUGUUUACCAAAAACACAGCUCCCUGCGAACUCGUAAGAGGAUGUAUAGGGGGUGACACCUGACCAAUGCCAGAAGGUCAAAUAUCGACGGUGGUAGUAGCAAUAUUAUUGCAGAUUGAUAUAAGCCCUGGUGAAUGUCGGCCGUAACUAUAACGGUCCUAAGGUUCUGCACACAACUUCGGUUGCGCGUGGAAUGACUGGGACCGGAAUAGAAAAAAGUAAACAAUUAAAUUAAAAAAUUAUUAGACUAUUCGAAUGCUACCUUCUGUUCAGUAAUGAACAGGAAGUCAAAACUUGACUAACGAGAGACCAGCGUCAAGCAUCCUACUAUUUAUUUAGGGAUGAAGAUAGAGUCCUUCUUAGGUAUAGAAGAGCGAAAUACCUUGUCGGGUAAGUUCCGACGCGCACGAAUGGUGUAAUGACUGGGGAACUGUCUCGGGGACCAGCUCGGUGAAAAUACAAUACCGGUGAAGAUGCCGGUUAAGUGCAGUUAGACGAAAAGACCCUAGAAGCUUUACUAUAACUUGAUAUUGAGUAUGUUUUUUUACUGCGUAGGAUAGUGGUGAGAGGUCUGAUGUAUACGGUUUCGGCUGUAUUCUACUCGACAGUGAAAUAGCCAUCUGUACGAAGGCAUAUUCUAACCAAUACGGCAAAAAC
rnacentral:rRNA from 1 species